rnacentral:ncRNA from 2 species
UGAACCCGAGCGGGAGAGUCUGGCCGUAGCGCGCCAAUGGUGCGUUUCGUCCGGCGCCGAAGGAGCAAAUCCUCCCCGGAACCUCUCAGGCACCCAGGACCGCUCGGGUGAG